rnacentral:rRNA from 1 species
GACGAGGGGUCCAAGCGUUGUUCGGAAUCAUUGGGCGUAAAGCGGGUGUAGGCGGCUUUGUAAGUCAGGAGUGAAAGCCCCAAGCUUAACUUGGGAAGUGCUUUUGAUACUGCAAAGCUUGAAUGUGGGAGAGGAUGGUGGGAUUCCAGGUGUAGUGGUGAAAUACGUAGAUAUCUGGAGGAACUCCGGUGGCGAAGGCGGCCAUCUGGCCCAACAUUGACGCUGAGACCCGAAAGCGUGGGGAUCAAACAGG